CUGUGGAGGUGGGGUUUUGAGAUCUCAUAUAUAUGCUCAAGGCUGGCCAGUGUGAUCCAGAGCUACCUCCUUGCUGCCUGCAGAAGACAGUCUCCUCCUGGCUGCCUUUGGAUCAAGAUGUAGAACUCUCAGCUCUUCCAGCACCAUGUCUGCCUGCAUGCUGCUAUGCUUUCUGAAAGGAUGAUAAUGGACUGAACCUCUGAAACUGUAAGCCAGCUCCAAUUAAGUGUUUUCCUUUAUAAGAGUUGCCUUGGUCAUGGUGUCCCUUCACAGCAAUGAAACCCUAACUGAGACAGGUAGGAAGCAAUUGAGGAAGGCAUCUGAUGUCCAUCUGUGGUCCACCUGUAUGUCUGCACACAUGUGCAAAGACACAUAGUAGUUAUCCAGGUGUGGUGCUGCACACCUGGGAAUCCCAGCACGUGGGAGUUAGGCAAGAGGAUUUGCAGUUCAAGACUACCCCUAGCUGUGUAGAGAGAUCGAGGUUAGCCUGGACUUUUGAGCUUCUGUCUCAAAAAACGAAUGAACAAAUGAACAAACAAACAAAACAAAACAAGAAAACCUCAAAAGCAUCACCAAUCCCACCCCCAAUAACAGAAUGUGCUGACAUCUUUAUUUUAAAUCUUUUGUAGGAGAAGCUCACUUAUGCUUGAUGUAUCUCCAACAGCUUUAAAGUGUUUGCAUCAUGAAAGAACAAGUAAUAAUACUUGAUAAGUAGAAACAAUAAUGACUCUUGCCUACUUGUGGGACUCUUGUCUUCCUACUGGGUUCUCCUGUCCAGCCUUGAUGUGAUGGUCAAUGCCUGGUCUUAUUGCAGCCGUUUAUGCUGUGUUUGGUUAAUGUCCCU
rnacentral:lncRNA from 1 species